CCAGUUGAGAGUACCCGAUUUUGGGAUUGCACUAGGGCUAUACACGGAGGAAUUCAUAGACGAUAAUGAACUCAACACCCUCCACCGCCAUAUCCACUACUCCCCCUCAAAAUGCUGGAGGGACCUCGUCCCUGCCUCGGGCACCUACGAUCCUAGCAGCUCCAAGGCAUCGGCUCUUCUUCCAUCCUUGUGGUAUCUACACGCC
rnacentral:lncRNA from 1 species